rnacentral:rRNA from 1 species
GGAUUGUAGUCUGCAACCCGACUACAUGAAGCUGGAAUCGCUAGUAAUCGCGGAUCAGAAUGCCGCGGUGAAUACGUUCCCGGGUCUUGUACACACCGCCCGUCAAGCCAUGGGAGCCGGGGGUACCUGAAGUGCGUAACCGCGAGGAGCGCCCUAGGGUAAAACUGGUGACUGGGGCUAAGUCGUAACAAGGUAAC